rnacentral:rRNA from 1 species
AGUGAACGCUGGCGGUAGGCCUAACACAUGCAAGUCGAACGGCAGCACAGUAAGAGCUUGCUCUUACGGGUGGCGAGUGGCGGACGGGUGAGGAAUACAUCGGAAUCUACUUUUUCGUGGGGGAUAACGUAGGGAAACUUACGCUAAUACCGCAUACGACCUACGGGUGAAAGCAGGGGAUCUUCGGACCUUGCGCGAUUGAAUGAGCCGAUGUCGGAUUAGCUAGUUGGCGGGGUAAAGGCCCACCAAGGCGACGAUCCGUAGCUGGUCUGAGAGGAUGAUCAGCCACACUGGAACUGAGACACGGUCCAGACUCCUACGGGAGGCAGCAGUGGGGAAUAUUGGACAAUGGGCGCAAGCCUGAUCCAGCCAUACCGCGUGGGUGAAGAAGGCCUUCGGGUUGUAAAGCCCUUUUGUUGGAAAAGAAAAGCAGCAGGUUAAUACCCCGCUGUUCUGACGGUACCCAAAGAAUAAGCACCGGCUAACUUCGU